rnacentral:rRNA from 1 species
CUUGGUCAUUUAGAGGAAGUAAAAGUCGUAACAAGGUUUCCGUUGGUGAACCAGCGGAAGAAUCAUUACAGAGAUCAUGCCCUUCGGGGUAGACCUCCCACCCUGUGUUAUUUACGUAUGUUGCUUUGGCGGGCCCCCUCGAGGUGUGCCCGCCAGAGGACCCCCAACUCUGUGUUUAGUGUCGUCUGAGUACAAUCAAAUAAGUUAAAACUUUCAACAACGGAUCUCUUGGUUCUGGCAUCGAUGAAGAACGCAGCGAAAUGCGAUAAGUAAUGUGAAUUGCAGAAUUCAGUGAAUCAUCGAAUCUUUGAACGCACAUUGCGCCCCUGGGUAUUCCUGGGGGCAUGCCUGUUCGAGCGUCAUUUCAACCCUCAAGCUUAGCUUGGUCUUGGGCCAUGCCGGGAACGGCCGGCCUUAAAACUAGUGGCGGUGCCGCCGGGCCCUACGCGUAGUAAUUACUUCCUCGCGUUUGGGUCCCGGUGGACGCUGGCCAGCAACCCCAAAUUUUUCUGGUUGACCUCGGAUCAGGUAGGGAUACCCGCUGAACUUAAGCAUAUCAAUAAGCGGAGGA